CUCACCUCGGGCUCCAAAAUCUUCGCUGUCAGAACAGUUAGGAUGUUCAUAGAACCAAGGGCCAGGCUCUACAUACUCUGAGCCAGUGGUCCCAGAAAGUGUUUUAAGAGUUCACUUGAAGAGUUGACUACCUGUAAAUCACACGUUCCUUUUCUCCUCUCACUGUAGGACCACACAACCUUCUGCCCCACUAACUGCCCUACUGCACCAGAACCUCAAGCUAACUUCACUCCUGCACCAGAACCUCCAGAACGCAUUGACCCCAUAAACAACAGCAGCCUGGCUCUGGCUGUAGACUUGACUCCAGGGGGCAUUGCAUGGACUGUGGUCGGGACUGUUGGGGUCAUUGCGAUGGUCAUUGCGGUGGUCAUUGCGGUGGUCUGCUGCAGAAAGAAAGAAAACAGUUUGUUCGAGCGGUUCAAGAGAGCGUGUUCUUCCAACGAACCACAAAGCGGAAGGGGAGCAGAUGGAAGACCAGAAGAUACACCGAUGCUAGACGUUUAGACACGAGACAAGGUCGAGCUCUAUUGGCUGUGGAAGCUGGCAGACUCUUAAUGCUGUACCAGAGUGUGCACUUUGGAGUGAUUUUGGUCCAGGAACACAGAAACAGGAUCAUGUAUAAAUCUGAAUAGCAUGAAUAGUAUAAAUCUAUACAAAUAUGAAUAUUAUAUUAUUAUAUACUAGACAAAGUAUUAUUAUUAUUAUUAUUAUUAAGUGGAGUGAGUUAGAAUGUUCAAAUGAAAACAAUAAUAUAAAUCCAGUGGUUGUGAUUGCUGAUCAACAUGGGAGGCAUAUGUACUGAAGCUGUGGAAGCUCUUCAUGCUGCACCAGGGUGUGCACUUUGGAGUCACGUGCAUAUAAAUGAAUAUUAUUAUCGAAUUGAAUUUUGUAC